rnacentral:rRNA from 1 species
AUUGAACGCUGGCGGCAGGCCUAACACAUGCAAGUCGAGCGGAUGAAGGGAGCUUGCUCCUGGAUUCAUCCGCGGACGGGUGAGUAAUGCCUAGAGAUCUGCCUGGACGUGGGGGAUAACGUCCGGAAACGGGCGCUUAUCCCGCAUACGUCCUUAGGGAGAAAGUGGGUGAUCUUCGGACCUCACGCUAUCAGAUGAGCCUAGGUCGGAUUAGCUAGUUGGUGGGGUAAAGGCCUACCAAGGCGACGAUCCGUAACUGGUCUGAGAGGAUGAUCAGUCACACUGGAACGGAGGGACGGUCCAGAAUCCUACGGGUGGCAGCCGGCGCGGAUAUUGGCGGGUGGGCGAAGUCCUGAUCCAGCCAUGCCGCGUGUGUGAAGAAGGUAUUCAGAUUGUGAAGCUCUUUAAGUUGGGAGGAAGGGAAGUAUGUUAAUACCGUGAUGUUUAGACGUGUCCAGCAGAAUUAGCCCCGGCCAACUUCGUG